rnacentral:lncRNA from 1 species
AAGUUCUUUUAUCUUUAAAAAGGUGAAGGUUUUUCAUCAUUUGAAAUUUGGUCUAACUUAUUAAUGUAAUUUUGUAAUAUUUUUAUAAUUUUUUUAAAUUAUUUUAGAGCCUAUAAUUUAUUGAUAAUAAGUUAAAUAAAAAAAAUUUACUUAGAUAUUAAAAUUUUGAUGCUAAUUGAACUUAUGUGAGUUUUGAAUUACGUUGUUGAUCAUGAGUCCCGUAUCCCCUGAUGUUAGAUUUUGGUUGUGAAGGAGGAGAAAGGGGCAAAGCUGAAAAAGACGUGUGGCGCCAUUGGGGAGCAGAAAGCGAGAAGAGAGCGCUUGAGGGAGAAUGAUUUACGGGAAGAAGGGUUCGUGUAGCGGAAAAACAAAGAGAUAAAGUUAUUGAGGGAUGUUAGGGUUUCCUUGGGGGUCGAUUUUUGAGGAAGGCGAGAGAGGGGGAAGAGAGAUUUGGGAAAAAUAUUUCAGAUUCAGCGAUACCAUAGAGAGAGAGGGAGCUUCAACAGGGAAACCGAGAGGAAGAGAUUAUGGAGUUUACUUGUAAAAUCAGUGAGAUUAAAAUAAUAUAUUUGGUGAAACUUGUAAAAUCAGUGAGAGGAGCUUUUUUGGACGGAGGAGGGUGAUAUUUCAGACUCAGCGAGGCCACAGAGACAGCUUCAACGGGGAUACUGAGAGGAAGGGUUUUGGGGUUUACUUGUAAAACCAGUGAGAUUAAAAAAAGAGAUUUAUCGGAAACUCAUUUUGAGAAGUAUAACAGAUUUGUGCUGGAUUUAGGGCUUCAUUUGGGGGCUUUUGGUUCCUAAUCCCAGAUAAAACAGAGAGUAAAAGAAGAAACUCGCUGGGUUUGCUUAUGAGGGUGAUAAAGAGCAGAGCGGAGAACGAGAAUUAGCUUUGGGGUUUUUCUUGUAAAAUCGUAGGAGAUCAGAGGGGGAUUGUCGGACUUGAUUGAGGUUCACAGUUGGUAACUAUUAUUCCUCUUUACUUUACUUAGUCAGUGUAUACAAUAUAUCAUGAUGAAUGAAAAUGAGACUUUGUUGGGAUCCAGCUUGAAUGACUGUUAUUUUCACUCUUUGAAACAUGAUCAAAUGAUACAUGUCAUCUGUUUGUAGAAAUACCCAUGAAAGGAUCUUGCUUUUUAGUUUGUGUAACUUGCCUUCUAAUCUAUAUAAGCUGAAACAAUGUCAGUUAUAUGGUUGUCACUUAUUGUGCUGUGUUUAAAUUCUUGCAUGACUGAAUGGUUAGCGCUCUUUGAAUAGGCUGGUUGUCUAACAAGCAUGACUUAAACUGUUACUGCUUCUUGGAUAGGUUGGUAUUGCCAACAAGGAGUACAGAGGCUGUAAUAGAUUGGUUUCAUGUCGCAAUUGUGGUGUAGUUUGCCAUUUUUUUAACUGAAC